UUGUCUGAGAGCGUCAAACAGGGAAAGUAAUAGCCUACAAGCUUCUGGAGGUUCCUUUGUCUCUGCUUCUCAUCUCUCUGUAGGAACACUGGGAUUACAGACCCUCUCAUGCUAGGUGUCCAGUUUUUAUGUGAAGACUGGAGAUUCAAAUUCAGAUCCUCCUUCCUGUAUGUCAAUCACCAUUGGCCCCGCCCCUCAUUUAGAAAGGUCUCCGAAGAAGGGAUCCCCACAUUUGCUCAGUGCGUGAUGAAGUUUCUUUACACCAUUAAUGGUAUGCUAGUUUUUUCCGUUUAUAGAAAAUUAAAGAAAUUAUUUAAAAAAUUAAUCAGCAUCUUUAAAAUGUGGACUCAUUUUUAAAUAUAAUAGUUGUUGUUAACCUUUAUAUCUGACUUUGUAUUUCUAUCACCUGCUCACUUCCAGACAAUCGAAAAUCUGACUACUUAAAACAAAAGUUCUUUUUUCUAGGCUGAAGGGAAAGGUCAGUGACUAAGAGUGUCCAUUGCCCUAUCAGAGGACGAGAGUUCAGAUCCGAGCACCCAUAGCAGGUAGCUUACAAAUGUCUAUAACUAGCUCAAAGGAUCUGACACCCCUUUCUGGUCUUUGUGGAAACCCACACAUGUGCAUGCUUGUGCCAUGUUAAUGUACAUAUGUAUACAUACACUCACAGUUGAGCGCACACACAGAUACACAGACACGUGCACACACAAAUGAAAAAUAAAAUAAAUCUUAGGAGUUCUUUUUUCUUAAAGAAAAGUGUUAGUCUUCUUUCGCGACCUGCCUGCCUGGGUUAUAAUUUGAGUCUUUGAGGGCUUUUUCUGUGAUCUUUGGCUUUGGAGAAGUCAGGCUACAUUUAGCUAAAACCAGAUGAGAAUCUAAUCUGCACCUCCACAUUGCUCCUUUAACUGGUAAUUGAAAUAGAUGGUUGAACUGGGGGUUGGGGGGAGAUGCUGAUCUUAUUGCCUGGACCACGGCUGCAUGCUCGUUUCUUAUGCUUCUUCAUAUGAAUUUACAAUGCUGAAAAUGGAUAUAUGCUGAGUAUAUGAAAUAAAACAUUUUAUUAGAAUGAUAAUUAAAGGAACAAUCUUCAUCAUUACACUCACUAAAUCAUAUAACAUAUUGAUAUUAAUACUUGAUAGAGCGGUUUUUCUCCAAUCUUUAUUAGAUUCCUCCCAAAAAAUAAUAGAAUUCUAUAAUCAUAAAUUCAAGCCAAAAGUAAAAAGAAUAAUAAACAGCUUAGAGUUCUGUCUUUCAUUUCUAAAAAAUAGAUUAAAAAUAAUAGUUGGCACUUACACUGCCUUUCAGAAGUUGGUCUAAUGACUUAUCAGUCAGUACUAAUGUAAAUACUGAUUUCAACUUAUGCACAUAUAUAGAAUGUUUUAAAAUAACUUCAUUUGAAUAAAAUGGGUUGACCAUACCAUCAUAUGAUUAUAUCAUGAUCUCUCUUUGUUCUUGUUCUUGAAUAAAAUAUGUCAUACAGUUUGUAAUUCUGUAGUCUUCCAAAUGUAGAUGUUUAUUCCUAAGGAGAUAGGACCUUCGGGCAAGCCUAUUUGUAGUGUGGGAACUACAUUAUAGCAUUACCCAUGAAAACAUCACAAGGACUGGGAUCUCAGCAAGAUGUCCUGUGAGUGCAUGGUGAAACUUCAGGAGAUCCUCAUAGCUUCUCCAUCGCACAGAGCAUGUUAGAAUUGUACUGGCUUGUAUAUAGCCAUAUGAUUUAAAAUAUCUGUUCAUUUCAAUUAUCCUAGAUUAACACAGAAAAAUAGUAUCCUUUACUUUCAGAGGGAAGUGCCAAGAUUUCAUAGAGCUCAAGAUUUUCCUUAGUAUCAGCUAAUAAAUACAAAGGAGAAUUAAGUAACUCCAGUCCUUGUAUAUAGCUUCCCUAUUAUCUGAAGUUUGUGGCUGGGUAGGAUUUCCACGAAUUAGCACAGCGAGAUUUCAGACAGAGGAAAGAACUGUCGCAAAGGCACAAAGGCACAACCGCGGGAGGUAUGGCAUGGUUUCAGGAAAAUGUCCGUGGCCAGUGAGCUCACAUUCAGGCUGAAGAGAAUUAGCAGGCAGAUGGCAAUGGAAUACUGUAGAAAGAUCCAUCUGGAACGGUUUCAUGGGAGCACUGGGGACGCAGUUGGUCAAAAAACAUUAAUGCUUCCGGAUUACAUGGGAGUAGGGGUUAAUGCCUGCCCACGUCUGGUGAAAACGGAUGUGUAAGAAGCCAGGGCAGGGUAUUGGAGACAUUUGGGAGGACAUGUCACCCUGGUACAAAAGCAGGAAGCUGAGGAAGGAGUGAGGUGUCAUCAGAGGUCACGUCAAGAUACAGGUUUGAGUGACAGGGAAGUCAGAGCCAAGGAAAGAGGUAGGAAAAAAAAAUCAGAAGAAAAUGCUAAACUGGAGGGUGUGUAACAAGAAGCUGUCUGUGGUUUGGUUGGGUGUGGGUAGGGCUUGCAAGUAGCCAAGUCUUAGUGAAAUCAGAAAACUUCCACCGUGCUUUUGGAAGCCAUUGCCAUGUCAGGUGGAUGUUUCGGGAACAGAUGAGGGGAUGGCGGGGAACUUAUUUCAGAAGGACAUGCAGGGAGAUGCCAGGUCAGUGAAGAGGGCCUGGACUCGGGUAGCGGCGUGAGGGAGGGGCUAAAACAGAGUGAUGGUCUCAGGACCCCUGCAGAGCUUCAUCCAAGAGCAGAGAACAUGCAUAAACCACCCAGUCUCUAGCAUCCACCUGGUAAACAGAAAUGGGACACUCUGUUUUUGCUUUGUUUUUAGGUUUUGGUUUUUUAGAUAUUUUGAAUUCUGUGAGAGAAGAGGUAGGUAGGUUGAUAAUGAUUCCCCCAUUCUCUUAGCCCUGACAUUUUACUAAAGACCCAGAAACUGAUUUUGAAUUCAAUUCACAUAUUUUCUCCAUGAUAUCAAAGUUUACUCCUCUUGUACCAUCACUCACUUGUUUUAUAAAGACAAGAGCGCUUCAGGGGAAAGAGUGGCUAUUUGUUAGCAUUCUGUCUAAACUCCACCCUCACAGUUACCUGGCAACAGCCAGGCAUGCUCCUCCCCACAGUUACCUGGAAACAGCCAGGCAUGCUCCUCCCCACAGUUACCUGGAAACAGCCAGGUAUGCUCCUCCCCACAGUUACAUGGCAAUAGCCAGGUAGGCCUGACCCACUAUAAAAGGGGUUGCUUGCCCCCUCCUCUCUAUUGCUCUCUUGUUCUCUUGCCUCUCCCUCUUGCUUCCCCUUUCUCUCCAUUCCCUUCCCUCCUCUCGCCACAUGGCCAUGGCUGGCCUCUACAUCUCUACUCUCUCCCUCUCUGUCUUUCUCUGCCUCUACUACCCUCUUAACUCCCCUCCCCAUGUCCUGAAUAAACUCUAUAUUCUGUCCCUCUGGGGGAAGGGAUGCCCUGGCAUGGGCCUGCUAAGAUAUCACUUUCCAUCAUACCUUUUCACACCCCCAUAGAACAUAUCCCCUUAUCUCUCUUUAUCUUUUUAUAAACAGAUCACUAUUUGUUCAUGGAUUUUUAUCCUGGUAUUGAAUCUCAGACCCAUCCCUUUGUAAUUUCUGUUCCUUCGAAGUAGGUCUUGGUGACAGGCAGGGGCACAAUUCCAGAAAAUGGGGUGUAAAAGAAGCUCUGUUGGUGGAUCCUUAAAAGAUUGCUCAAGAGUAACCUCUGUUCUGUGCAACUGUGAUGCCAACAAAGUAUCUUAUAGGUAGAGUAGCCUUCUCACGGGUACGUGGGAGGUGGCCAGAGGGGUCCUGGCAUGUCAGGGAUGCAGAGCAGAGAGAUGCUGCUCAGUUCCUCCAUGGAACAGCCACACCCCUCGAAUCAAUCCUGUGUAACAAUCUCUGGACGUUUUGUUGGCCAGAAUUAGAUUUUCCCUCAUGUCGAAAGCCAAUGGAGCCAUGGUUCUGUUGUUAGAAACAUUCAAAGGGCACCUGAACGUGCAAAGUGGCUAAAGACAUGAAAUUGUCAUUUUAAUGUUAUUUCUGUAUUUGUAAAAAUUUCUAAGUCGACAGUCAAGGAGGAUGCAGAAGGGGUGUCAUUCCUCAAGGAAGCAAAGUCUUUGGAAGGACAAUGAAAUUCUUCGGUAGAGAUGCUGAGAAGCCCCAAGCUAAGCCUGACAGUCUCUGCAUUCUGCUAAGCAGGCUUCAGUUGGCAAAUCAAAAUUUGAGCAGGACACAGAGUUGCCCGGGAAGGUAGUGUUCGCCCUCAUUGCCCAAUUCAAGGGACUUCUCUGUUUUCACUGUUCAUUUCGGCAUUUUCCUCAGCUUUUGUCUGAGCCAUACAGAUACAUUAUUCAUUUCCAUAGCACCUAGGGUCCUGCAUCCUAAUGUGUUUACAGCCUAUGCAGAAGCCUGUGUCUGCUCAUAGGAACAGAGCGCUGGCGUCCAUCAUGUGGGAGAAGGACUGGAAUGCUGAUGAGCUGUUUGGAGCUCACCCUGGCGUCAGGCCCCCCCCAUGCAUCCACCAUGCCCCUAAUGCACUCGGGCUAAUUAUAAGUCAUCACUCUCAUUCUUUCCAGAGCCUAAGAAUCAGGAGGGCUGUGGGGGCAGAUUCUUAAGCAAUUGUGCAAUCUGCCAUCAUGAGGACCUUUUACAAUUCAGUUGCUCACUCUUGUUAAAAUCUGCUGCUCAGUAGUCUUCCAAUCCCAGGAAGCCCUGUUGCGCAUUGCUCAAAGUUAAAAACAAAAACAAAAACACAAACAAGCAAACAAACACACAAACAAAAGAAACCAGGCAGCAAUGGCAUCCAAACAUAAACACUGACAGAAUUUUUGGAUUUCCCUUUAGAAUGGGUUUUAAACCUGGUAGGUAGGAAUCUUUUAAAUCUUGUUGAAAAAGUCCUAAAGAAUUGGGAUUCUGUUUAAUAAACUGCAAUUAACAGUUGAGAAUCCCACUCACUACUUCUUUUAAAGUGACAUUUUUAAAGACUUCUUAUAUUACAAUAUUCUCAAGGGAAAGUCCUGUUAAAAUAUCUUCAGAUUCCUGAGACAGGGAAGAGUCAGCCCCUGUCUACAUUUCUAAGAGCUUGGGUUACUUCUGAGCAUGGCAACACAGCUGUAGCAAACACCACGAGCUGUUCUACAAAU
rnacentral:lncRNA from 1 species